GAUGAACGCUGGCGGCGUGCCUAAUACAUGCCAGUCGAGCGAACAGACGAGGAGCUUGCUCCUCUGACGUUAGCGGCGGACGGGUGAGUAACACGUGGAUAACCUACCUAUAAGACUGGGAUAACUUCGGGAAACCGGAGCUAAUACCGGAUAAUAUAUUGAACCGCAUGGUUCAAUAGUGAAAGACGGUUUUGCUGUCACUUAUAGAUGGAUCCGCGCCGCAUUAGCUAGUUGGUAAGGUAACGGCUUACCAAGGCGACGAUGCGUAGCCGACCUGAGAGGGUGAUCGGCCACACUGGAACUGAGACACGGUCCAGACUCCUACGGGAGGCAGCAGUAGGGAAUCUUCCGCAAUGGGCGAAAGCCUGACGGAGCAACGCCGCGUGAGUGAUGAAGGUCUUCGGAUCGUAAAACUCUGUUAUUAGGGAAGAACAAAUGUGUAAGUAACUAUGCGCGUCUUGACGGUACCUAAUCAGAAAGCCACGGCUAACUACGUG
rnacentral:rRNA from 1 species